ACCCCUAUAUAUUGUUAUGCUUGUCACGCCCCCCUGUCAUUUGAUCUUGCCCCUCAGAUCGUGCAGUUUCUGUGCUUGUUAUUUUGCUAUUUUGCUGUUCUCUAUUUUUCAGGCAAGUCCAUUGUUCCCAUUCUUCUAUUUUGCCACAUUCCCCCCAGAUGGACUGGACUCGGGGUUGCAGCAAGCCAGACUGCGAUAGAGGAAGAUGCCCCAGGACAUGCAGGCAGGCACUGAGCUGCAGACAGAGACCAGGGAGAAAAAUCCCCACAGCAGAACCUCGUGGAAGAGGCAGUUUUGAGUGGCUCCACAGCGCAGGAGUCCAAAGGAGAGGAAAAGCCCCAGAGAUGCCACAUGAGGAGCGCCUGCAAACCCAGCCCAGGGUACUUUGAGGAGGAAAGACCUGUGCCAGGAAGGUGGCCAGAACUUUGGCCAGAGCUCUGACCUCGGGGUCCAGCAGCAUAUUCACACCAAAGAGAAACCCUACAAGUGCUUCUUGGAAUGUAGGAAGAGCUUCAGCAACAGUUCAGACCUCCUCAUUCACCAGUGGGUGCACAUGGGGAAAUGGCCUUAUGAGUGUGAGGAAUGUGGGAAGAGCUUCACUCAGAGCUCCAUCCUGAUCUGCCAACAGAAGAUCCACACAGUGAAACUGCCCUAUAGGUGUUUGGAAUGUGGGAAGAGCUUCAGUGACCCCUUCCACCUCAUCUGCCACCAGAAGGUCCAUACUGGGGAAUGGCCCUGUGAGUGUCCCAAGUGUGGGAAGAGCUUCAACUAGAGCUCCCACCUUAUCACCCAGAGUGAUGCCUUGACCUCACACCAGUGGUCCCACUUGUAAGGGAAGCCCUGCAAGUGCCCUGACUGCAGGAAGAGCUUUGUCCAACUGUAACACUCAUCAGAGGACAAAUAUUGGAUGAUCCACACGACCCACAUUGGGCAGAGAACCAGCGGUCCACAACAGAAAAAGAUAUGUUGACCAAUAUUCCCAGUGAACCACAUAGGGCAGAGACCUGCUAACCCACGUUCCAAGUGAUCCACACUGGAAGACAUCUGGCUGGUGGUCUCCACACCCUCCUUGUUCCCCACAGGCAUCUUGAUGAAUACAGGGGAAGGAACAUCCAUUAGAAUGCAGACCAACAUUGGAAAUUCAUUGGGAAGAGCAGUUUUGUUGACUUUAGACCCCAAAAAAUCUCACCAGCGACCACCACUCAUUUCUUCAGGAAGCAUCAAGCAAAACCGGAUGGUCUUUGAGGUCUUUUGCAACUACGAGGUCUUUUUAAUUCCAUUAUUAUAAUUCUCUAUGGCCCACAGGUGUCUUCCACAGACAAGUGGUGAUGGAUUGGUGCAAAGACCUAACUAUUCAAAUCAAAGGCUCCAAAAAGAGCUCUUCCUACCCAAACAACACAGCAUCAGAGAUACUCACAUGACACCGACAUGUAAAUCCUUCUAUUUGGGCCUUUGUUUUCUUUUGAGCCAUUUUCAUCUCUUACAAACAGAUGACAUUUGGGUUAAAAUAAAGUAAUUAAACAAAGAUCUCCAAACCCCAACUA
rnacentral:lncRNA from 1 species